rnacentral:lncRNA from 1 species
UGGGAAUCAAAAUCUGCGUCCUCGCUAAACCCUAAAAUACCAAAUUUUAACUAUACGUGGGCUAUACUAGUUCUAGGAUUACGUAGGAAAAAUUAUUCUUAGUAUAGCUAGUUUAUUUUCUUGGAAUAAUUCAACAAACCAUGUAGUAUUAAAACUAGUAAAAUACUUUGUAAAGUUUCUUUAAUAUUACUUUUCUUGUAAAAGUGUUACUAAAAUAAAUUUUAAGUGAAAUAAUGUUUCUUGCCGAACAAGUUUUCUACACGUCUAGUUAAAAUUGCUAAAAUCUCGUAUUUUGGAAAUUUCCUCUACAAAACUAGCAAGGGACAGGUCUUAAAGAAAGGAAAGGAAAUGAAACAAGACUUAGGGUUUUAAAAGCUAGAAAAAUUAUUUUCUAUAACUAUCAAGACUAGUUUAAGCUAAAGGAAAAUUGUCGGUUGGCAAGAUUUAGGGCAAAAUACUAAUUACUGAAUUUUAUCGUUUAAUACUAGCGAAAAAAUAUUUUUGAUUAGCUUGAUCAAAAUUGCUCGAGUUCACAGGGUCGAAACGACUUUCACAAUUUCGAUCCCAUUUCGAAAUCACAUUAUGGUUCAAAUUUGCCAGCAAAUCAAAAUUACAUUUUAAUAGAAAAUCCCUAGGGUUUCGUCAAUCAUUAGCCCUGGGUUUUCAAUAGAUUCACUUCUGAUCAAAAUGGAAUAAAUGACCAAGGCUUCGUCAAUCAUUAGCUCUUGGUUUUGGCAAGUUCAUAUCACAUCACAGUUGAAGCAAAAUAAAUAUAAAGCCUCCAAGCAAUUCUAGCAGUUAAUUUCAUCACACUUUAACACUUGUAUAAAAUCAUUGAAAUGGCCAAGGGCUUCAUCAAUCAUUAGCCCUUAGCAUCCAACAAUUAUUUCUUAUAACAAUAUAGCCAACAUUUCAACCAAACUUUUAUUGUUCAGAAACAAGGAUAACUUAAACAUUUUCCAGCAAUUGUUAUUCCAAACUAUCAAGAAUUCCAUCUCAACAUUUUAACCAUAGUAUAAUCAAAUUGUUAUCCCAAGGUAUACGUGCAUAACCCUCUUAAUAUUUCUUAAAGUAAAAUCAAUGGGCAUAAAAUAUUUUACAGCUUGAAACAGCAGUUUUGGAACUGAAAUUCGCCAAAAGAAAUCUGGAAAAUUCCUUUACUAUCUCUAUCAACACGCUUGAAAAUUUUCCAGAUCUACACUUCAACCUUUUUGAUUCAAACCUCCAAAAUAUCAAAUGUUUCAUAGCUAAACAACUUACACAGCUUAAAAUAUACAUUUUUCAUGCAUUUCAAAGCCAUUAUAUUCCAAGGAAAAUUCCAGAAACAAGUUAAAAUUUCCAAAAACAAACUGAAAAUUCCUGCUCAAACCUCUCGGCUAUCAAGAAUUUUCCAGCACUUAGGUGUUUAUAAAUCCAACUUUUCCUUGGUUAAAACAUGGUAUUAGGUACUCAAAUUCUACAUGCAAACACUUAGCUAGCUAAUUAAUUUUUCUGGUUAAAAAUCAGAUUCGGUCAACAGCAGAAAUCAUCCAAAUUUCCAGAAAUUGGUUCGGCUAGCCUCGGAUGAGGUUGCAUGCAUCGGAUUUCUGUUUCAUUAUUCCUUUUCUUGCUUAACCGGCUAUUGGGCUGCGUGCAAAGCUUAAACACCUAGUUUCUAGUUAGUUAAUCACAGUUGUAAGCUCAGAUUACUUCAAAUAAACAAGAUUAAAGCUGCAAUUCCUAAUCAACUCUCGGCAGAACCAUUUUCUCCCAAACCAGAUUUUCUCAUGCUUUGGUUUCAUCAUCCAACUGCACAAACAAUGCAUGCAUGUCCCUAGAUGGCUCAAUCUACCUCUGAUCAACGCAAUUUAGUCCAGAAAUUACCUCACAGUGCAGCUUACUCACGUGGCAGAGCUGAAAUUUUCUUCCUCUCGCUUCACCUUCUCGGACAGAAUGAAAAUGUAGCUCACUGCUCUCUCUACUCUCCUUUCUCUUGCUCAGGCCGAGGAGCUCUCCCUCUCCUCACUACCGGUCGAUGUUUACUAGGUGAAGAGGUGUUGUUGUUGCGGUUGGGGUGAGAUGGUAGAGGUGAAGGUGCAGACAGAACUCAUGCACGGCCUCUCCCUUUCUUCCCUAGGCUCACGGACAGAAACAGAAAAAGUUGCAGCUCGCGGUUUCCUUUCUUGCUCCAGCUUCUGAUCAGAAAGGAAAUGGAAGCUCUCUCUCUCUCUCACUUGGUCGAUGAUCACAAGGUGAGGUGUUGUGGUGAGUUGGAGAUGAAAUGGGGUUGAGCCGCGGUAAGGAAGGUGGAGUGUUUGAGUGAAAACAAAUGCAUCCGGCAGCAAUGAGAUGUUUGGAUUUGAAGGCUGGCCAAUGCAGCUCGAUGGUUGCAUGGUUAUUUCCAGGAUGGUGGAGGCUAAAUUUGGUCUUUUCACAUUUCGUCCUAAUAUCCACUUACGUCCUCGAUUCUAACCUAAUUCCAAAAUUUACCCCAAAUGCAAUUUGGAUACCUACUAUAAUGCUAAUCUAGCAAAAUUCAAUUAUCGAGAUUUUAACCUCCUAAGUGCACCCAAUGUACUUGUAACGGUUUAUCAAAAAUAUAUCAAUUCAUCUUAAUUCUAAGGUUCCUAUUAACACUUAGCAUUAUUAACGCUUAAGAUUAGCUAUCGGAAUUCAAAGAAAUUAAUUGUUAUAUCAAUGAAAUAAUUUACCUUUGAAAUAUGAAUUUAAUGUAACAAAACUAGGAAAUUUAAUAAUUUAGCACAAUUCUUUCAUUUUGCACAUAAAAUUUAUUUCUACGCACUUAUUUAAAAACAAUUAGACUUAAUGCUAAAAUUAUUAAAGAAUUAAAAAUGCAAAUGAAAUAUGCACUUUUUUUUUUAAAGAUUUUAUUGAUUCUAAAAUGGACAGAAUACAACUCUCACCGCAAUCUUCUCCUGAUAUAUGAAAUAUGCACUGAUAUUUAUAUAUCUAUUUUCAGGGUUCUCACAUCCUCCCCCCCUUAAAUGAAUUUCGUCCUCGAAAUUUACUUUUUUUUUCGACUAAAUCAAAUGACUCAAUUAUGUAGUUCAAAACUCGAGUACAAAGAUAUAUUUUCUAUAAAAGAUUUCACUCACCAAAUUGUCGUACUCAAAUUGUCCAAAAUUAUUUACUAGUGUGUGAUUUUCAAAAUUAACAAUUUUAGAAAUGACCCAGUUCUUUUGUCCCAAACCAAAAAUCUUAUUCGUUUGAGGAAAGCUUGUUCACGUACCUUUCGUAACCAAACUAAUAACAGAAUAUCAAAUACACAUUUGGAAAAAUUGUGGUCUACAUACAUAUAAAUAAAAUGCCUAUUCGAAUGGAAGACAAGAAGAAAAGAAUUUGGUUCUGAUCUUGAUAGUCAAAAUUUCUAAAUGCAUUCGACUUUUGAUAAGAAGUUUAACAUUUGUUAUAUGGACGUUUGAUCAAGAAAAAUCAUUUAACCCCACAAAUCACUUUUGAGAAUAAAAUGCUUUUAAGAAAAUAAGCAGACAUGCAGGUUCGUAUAUACUUAAACUUUGGUCCAAAGCCUCUACUCUUCACACCUAAUCUGAGAAUUAGCUUUUAUGCCACAUAAAACUUAACUAUUUACUCUCCCAUUUCACGACCAAUAUUCAUUCUUAUUUAUAAGAGAAGUUCAAAUAUUCAUAAAAGUUUAAAACAUGCCUAUAGGGCCAAUCACAAGAUAUAUGUAAAAUAAUCAUUAAGUUCACAAGGAAGAACCUCACUAGUUACUCAACCAGGUCAAUUCAUCAUAAUACCAGUAGAUCUCAUCUCCUCGUUCAGUUUCAACUUAGAUCAAGUGCUAGGAUCCCAUUGGAUUGUACAAGACUAUCUAUCAAUCUUUCCUUCUAUUAUCUGUACAACUCUUCUAACGGUUUCAAACCAUUAAUAUCCUUUGACGAGUUAAUCUUAACUUUUUCUCGUGUCUUUUUUCAAGUUCACAUCGAAUCAAUAUUUUCAAAUUUAAGGCCAUAAAGUUUAAAAGGACACUUUUAUUUCAAACUAAACUUGUUUGUAUUUUUAAGUUUCAUAAAUCCAAAAAGCACCAGUCCUAUACCACUCAAAAAUUCUACAUUUGUCCCAAAAGGCAUUCUUUCAAGAUGAAAUUUGUAAAUAAAUGGAUCUUGACCUUAAAUUACAGCUUUAACAAAUAGGAAAAACAAGAAUGGAUUUGACAUUUCAUUUAUCUUAGGAAAAUUUCUGAUGCUCAUAGAAUUUAAGAAAAUUUGGAAAUUUUUACACCGUAAAAAGAGCCAUUGUGAACUCUUAAAUCUAAUAAACGAAACUAAUUAAAUUUUUUUUUAAUGAUAUAUGUAUGAGUAUAUAUGUGUGUAUAUAUAUAUAUAUAUAUUACACCAAUGCAUCACAAUUUUUAAAAUUGUACGGUGUUCCUUUUUGGAACAAAAUUUUGGCAAAACCAAGUUUAAAAAUUAUUUCCUUUCAACUUCAAAUUUCAUUUUCAAGAAUCAACGUUUAAAAUAUUAAGCAAAAUUUUGCCAAUGAUUUGUAAGAAAACAGGGCUAAAGGUAACUAAACAUGUUCGGCCAGUAGCGAUACUACCAAACAUUUUCACCGAUCCUAUCAUCACUUCCCUAUUAUAAUUCAUCAAUCUCAUGAAUUAACCACAAUAUCCCAUAAUCAACAUAUAUCAAGCUCUCUUAUCUUAUCCGCCAAGAUUCACCAAAAUUUUACACUAUGAAGCAUAGAGAAUUCCCGAGGCAUCUAGCCUAGUAAUCAAAGUCCAAGGAAUCUCUUCCAUAACCCAAGCUCAAUUAAUCGGGAAUCAUUGAAUUUAACCAUAAACUUGUACAUCUAACAAAUUCAAACACCUAUCUCAUCCAAAACUCCAACCCUAAUUAUAACAAGUCUUAGAUCUCCAAAGUUUACCAUAAAUUUUGUCACACUCGCACUAAUUGAAACUUCUUAAUAACAUCUUAUCUUAUCCACUAAUUUACCUCCGUGCAGCUACUCGUUUUUUAUUCUUAUAAUUCAAUAUAUACUCCACUAGUUAUCUCUUUGCCAUCAUUCACUAACCCUCAACUUUAUUUUCCAAUUCACUCUCUAGUUGACUAAAACUAGUAAUAUCCAUUCUUAAUUUAGCAGUUUUACCUGGUGGAAAAUAUUUGUUCAGAAAUGCUCUUGAUAAAUCAUCCCAUGUGGAAAAAGUGUUAGGAGCAUGAGAGUGCAACCAGAUUUUUGCUUUAUCUCUUAAAGAAAAUGGGAACAACCUUAACCUUAUAGCAUCAUUACUAACUCCAUUCAUUUUAAUGGUAUCACAUAUUUCCAAGAAUGUAGCUAAGUGUGAAUUAGAAUCUUCUACUGCAUUACCUCCAAAUUGAGAUUGUUGAACCAUUUGGAUAAGUGAUGGUUUAAUUUCAAAAUUGUUAGUAUUUGCCGUAGGCCUUGCUAUGCUUGUUUGAGACCCUUGUGUUCCCGGUAGAGCAAAAUCUCGUAGAGCUCGCCUAUUUGCUUCAUUUUCGGUCAUCUCUUCUUCAAAUGGUAGCUCUAUUAAGAUUUCCUCUAUCGGUUGCCAAACCUCUUGUUCGUCUUGCUGUGGUGUAUGCCUCCUUUGUCUACGUAAUGUCCUCUCAAUUUCUGAAUCGAAAAGUGCUACUUCUCGAGAUGUCCGGUGCAUACACUACAAACAGAAAUAAGAGAGAUUAUGCAACUUUUAUUUAUCAAAAACUGAUUAAAAUGUAAAAUUAGCUAUAGAAAGCUUAACUAAAAAAUAAAGAUGUCUAAAUUAAUAGAGAUGAUUAGACCCUAAUAUUGCCGCUUCCCGGCAAUGGCGCCAAAAACUUGAUGAAUUUUUUUACUACAAGUGUAAGUUAAAUCCGAAUUUAUACCUAUUUGACUGCAAGUAUACAAGCCAAAAUCGUAAUGUAGAGUAUGUAUCGGGUCGAUCUCAUGAGAAUCAACUUAAACAAUUACUAGAUCCUAAUUUACUCUAUUAUUUAGACUCACAAUAUAUUUGAACAGAAAAUUCAGAAUUAAAUCUGACUACAAUCUUUUUACUAUCUAAAAUCCUUAACUAGAUAAUUGCAAUAUCACAAAUGAAGAAAAAUUCACCAAAUACUUGAAUCUAAGGAUGUAGAUUCCACUUAUAACACAAAUGAUCCAAAUGAAUGAAUUUAAUACUUGUUACUACUCUUGUUUAACCAGGGAUUCAUUUUCAAAAUUGCCAAAACUUCAUUCUCAAGAUAAAAUUGGUCUAAAAAGCUUAGUUUUUGUGACGGCCCCACCUCCCCCUAGGGCGAACCAAAGGGUUUGGCGGACCGCCUGCCCAACUUUCGCCAGAAUUCACUUACUCACAUCAAAUAAAAUAAGGUGCAACCUCAAUAAUAAACGAAAUAAUAGUUCCCAAACUUGGGACAUACAAAUACAUCAAAAGAUUGGAAUUCUGAAUAAACUCAACCCUAAUCGAGCAACUCGUGUGAGUACAUUUACAAAAGUCAAAAACUAGACUACGCUAGUCUGUACUGGUCCCACGCCUCGCUCGUACCCCCUGUAAGGAAGACAAAUGGCGUGGAAUGAGCUAAAAGCCCAGUGAGGUUCCAAAUAGCAAAUCGACCAUUGUUUAUCAGUACAAGAUUCAAUGUAGUAACGAAUGAGUAUGAAAAGUUCAUAAAAUUGAGCAAUAACACUUCAAGUAGCAAAUCUUAAAAUGAGCGAGUGUAAAGUUUAAAAACGAAACAAUAAUACGAUAACUACUAAUCAUUCCAAGUAUAAGGAUACGGAUGGCUCUCAGGAGCCAAAUUCCCAUUGCAUCACCAGAGCUUGAUCAAGUAAUAGUUGAUACUCCGUCAACUUUCAAGUAACCAAUCCCAUAGAGCAUCACUUAAACUACUCUCCGUCCACCAUCCAAACCCCCUACUGGGCCCAAAAUCCUCAAUAAACACGGGUGGUAAUAUUCGAGUAUACCGAUUAGUCGAGAAAAUAUCACUCCACACGACAAAACAAAAGACCCAGGAUUCGUUACCCAAUCGACCAAACCUUUGCCGGCUCGACUCGAGUAACUCGCCAUAGGGUUUCUGGAAUUCCAGGAAGUGCGCACCAUAUACACAAAUAUAUCAGAUCCAUUGCAACCAUAAACAAUUAUAUCUCAUAUUAGGGCAAGUGCGAUAAGGUACACUCUUGCCCGACCAAAGAAAUGAUAUAUCAUUAAAUCACAUUGGUCAAGUAUUGAAAACAAGUUUCCAAUUCAAUCAGGUAUUUAGAAGCACUCAACAAAAUGUAGUGCUUUUCAAAAAUCACGUUCAGGUCCAACUCCUUAGUUGGAGUCCAAAUUUGCGAUAAAAUAUCAUUGACAAAUGUAAAACUCUCUAGAGUUCGAAAUAUAGGAGUUUCGCUUCAAGAAAAUCAAGUAAAUGCAACUCGUUCAAAUAGUAUUCAAGAUACUUAUCAAAUCCCGAAAAUUUAUACUCGCUCAUCUAGUUUCGGUAAAAAAGCGGUUAAAACUUUAGAACUCCCAUUGGAGUCAAAAGAACGAGUAAAACGUAUUUCUAUUGAUUAUUACUUUCAUUUUCCAAGGGUACAAGGUCGGCCAAAUUCUAACUUAUAUACCUCGAUAAAAGAAGACGCAAAUAUCCUAGAUAGCUCAAGAGGUACUCGCUCUCAAGCCUUACUUAAGUCGCAAGUAUAUCUACCUAACCCUCGAGCGUAAAUUUGGGUAGCACGCCCUUUGUAUUUAUCUAUUUUCUAGCCAUUCAUGGCUUUAUUCUUUUCCUCAAUCAGUCCCAAAGUCACACACAAAAUAAUCUCAUUUCAAUAACCGUUUAAUAGGCUCAAAGUCAUACAAGUACCAAACCAAGCUAGGAACAUGUGCGGAAAUGAAGUUUGAGUCAAGAAACAAAAGACAGAUUUGACGUUGUUUUGCAUAACGCACACAACUGAGGCUAUGCUUAUCAUAUUGGGAUGUAAUCUAUACCGUUUCGAAGCUAAGACCAAGAUCUACAACUUUGAUGAAGACCACUCAGUCCAGUUAGUGGUGUAGCUAGGUCAAAAUUUCAAUGUACCAGACUAGAAUCUCACAAACAAGUUAGCUGACCGCACUAUGGUUACACGACAAUAACUCAGGCUACCAAAGUCCGAUUGAGGCGUUUUCAGGGGCGUUGGAAAGAUAAGACAUAGGGGUAAAAGUUUCAUGUUUUGGCCAAAGAUUGGUUUGAUGCGAAUCGAGGUGAAAAAAUGCAACCAACGUGAGGCAAUGUCAAAACUGUCUGCUGGACUCCACCUAGGGCAGUUUCAGGGGUAUUUUUGUCUUUUCAUGAGAUACAAUGCUCGGAUUGGGGUGCAAUUUUGUAGAAAACUAUAAAACAUUACUCUCUACAACUUUCAUGUUUUGUGCUAAGCCUAAUUAGACCUCUAUCAAGGUGAACUAAAACUAGGCAGAACAGGGCACUAAGGAUUUUCACUUCUGGAAUUUUGCUACAUUCAAGGUAUAAUUCACAUUUCUAGCUUAAAACCAUCACUACCACCUCAUAUACAAGCUUAUGUACAUCAUAUACCAUCCACACAAUAAGAAGUAGGGCUGAACAUUAUAAAAACCUACCUUACUAAUGCACCCAAAAUCAUCACAACUACUUGUAUAGCUACCAAUUUAAUCAAAACAUGAGUUGUAUAGCAACUUAAGCCCAAAAACAAAGAACCAAAGAUAAGGGACAGCCAAUAUACCUCAAUAACAAGCUUACAAAGGAUACCCUUGCAAAGUUUAGCUUCCAAGCUUCCUAAGCUCCCAAACUUGUGAUUAAUCGGUUUAGUUUUUCUUGUUUUCACUCAAAAUGUUGGAUUCAAGGUUGGAAAUUGGAAAGCUCUCUUCACUCUUCUCCCUCUCUUGCUCUCGGCUGGUAUUCUGAAAUUAUGGAGGAAAUUGGUUGGUUUUUGGUGAUAAAUAUGGUGUAAAUUAGUUAGUCAACAAUCCAAUGGAAGACCGCCACUUGUUGCUUCAAGAUUCAUUCUUAAAUUUUUUUCCUUUUUCCUUGUUUUUUUGGUCAAAUAAUUCAGCCACUCCAUGCUGAGAUUGAAGGAGAUAUUUUGUAAUAAUAUCAAGGAUAUUUUAGGGUAGGAAAGUGUUGGUCAAGUGGUGUGUCCAAUCGGUAGUGAACGAUACCCGUCGAUUCGAGCCGAUUUUCCUUAAAUCGCGUAUACUAGGGUUUUAACUUAUAAUUUACUUACUUAUUAUUAUCACUUCUACUCACACACUUAACAACACCUAAAACUCACUCUUAAUCACCAGAUUUGAUCCACACUCCGCACCGGAUAGUCACCCUACGGAUAGACGUAAAAACCCUAGUUCGCGCUUAUAACUUGAAAUUGAAAAGAGAAAACCCUUACUUCUAUAUUCAUUUGCACUUAUUGUGGGGUGAUUGGGUAGUAGGGCUAUUAUAAAGUAAUAAUUUCCAAAUAAAAGGGAAUUUUUUUAAAAAAAAUAUAUAAGGAAUUUGCAAGUCCUCACAGUUUUUCCUAAUCUCUUGGUGAAAACUGAAACUACUCUUGUUCAUGCAUGAAAUGCAGAUUUAAUCCACUUGAAUGUAUUUCUAUUCUCAUGAAUAUACAACUCAAACUCUACUCAUGUUAUUCCAUUGUUUUUACCAUUUCUCAAUGAGUAAUAACAACUAUAAACCUACUAUUGGUGAUCAAACAACAACAAGGUGUCAAGCAUACAUAAGUAAACAAGUUAAUACAAGAUACAACAAGUAUAAAUCACAUUCAAUUUAUAUCACUUGGCCAUAAGUUUCAUCUACUCCCUAGAUAUAGAACUCAGUGAUAAUGUAAUAAUCAAACUCAUAACUUCAUUAAUGGAAAACAUCUCAGUUUACAAGUACAAGAAAGAUAAAGAAAAGCUUAGCCAAGUAAUGGUGAAGCCCUCUAAAAAUCUGCUAUGUCUUAUACUAGAUUAUUACAAGAUGAAGCCUCCAAGUGUUCCUGCAAAAUUUACUAGCUAGAGAGAGUUUGCUAUCAGAAAAUCAUCUACAUAUAUCCUCCUCUGACCUCCCCAAUGUCUCUGUAUAAAAGCUGGUCCAAAAACUCCUUUUUCCUGGUCAAAUAUUCCCCCCUUUGAUUCCCAAAUUUGAAGCUUGUUUAGAUAGUCAAUAACCAAUGUUUUUGACUUGAAAAUAAGCCACCUUUCUUGCCCUUUUUGUCUUCUGAAGCAUGUGCACCGACUUCCUUUGCAACUUAUAGCUGGAAAUUAGUAUGAGCACAAGAGAAAUGGCUGAGCAAAUUGCAGAUUUUCAGCUACAAAAUGCGACUACACAAAACGCGGCAUCAACCCACGUUUUGUCAACUCGUGUUUUCAACUAUGUGAAAUUGGCCUCGCUUCAACUGUGAUUUUCUCUAUGAUAGAGGCCGAGCUAGCUUUUGUACAAAACACAAAAUUGUAGGCCUUUGAGUUAGCUUCACAAUGCUUCAGGAAUCAUCCAAAUCAGAGUGUUGUAGACUGAGAUAUGAUCAAAAUACGGUCACCUAGUCAAACCCCUGUUUCAAUUUUCGUCCAUAGAGUGCAGCUUCUGUAUUUCGACUUUUUGUUCAUGAAAACAACCGAAUUGGAUUCCUAUGUCUUCAUACGAAAUCUAGAUCUCUUUCUUAGCUUUAAAAUGGUAUAAAUAUCACCUCAAUCCAAUAUGUGUAGCUCCAGAUAUAGCCAAAAUACGAAAAUGUGUCAGAGUUGUUUUCAUUUGCAUUUCUUCAAUUUACUUCAUUUCUUCUUUACCAGUUAAAUUCAUCACCAAUUAUCCACUUUUCACCUCAGUUGACAUCCUUUGGUGAUUGAAUCAUUAAUCCUGCAUGAAAAUGAAUUUUUUACCAUUAAGAUUAAUAGAAAUGCAAUGUUGGCCACUUUAACUUUAAAAUGUAUAUUUUUACCAAAACCCUAACUAUUUUAGUUAUAAACUUGAUUAAAUUACUGAAAUUUUACUAAUAAAUACACUUAAAAACAUGUAAAAUAUACUCUCAUCAAUGUUGCUCGCAUUAGAGCCACUUCAAUGUCAUUGAGCAUUCAUUUCAGUAUCAAGAGACACUCAUUUCACUGUCAUUGUACAUUCAUUUCAAUAUCAUUGUACAUUCUGCCAAUUCACCUCCUUAUGUCUUUCAAAACAGUAAACAAUUCCCUACAUUCAAUAAUCAGUUCAAUAAUCUCCCAACCUCAUGGUAAUACUCGAGUAUACUGAAAAAGUUACCCAAAUCUUUUGUCUUAUCUGACCAAGCUCUUUGCUAGCUCGAAUAGUCCGUUGAACAAAGGAUUUUGGGAUCCAGUUCAGCCGAUGUAGUAAAGUACACAUACAGCUUAUAUUCAUGCACAUUUACAGUAAUAUUUAGUCAAUUAUCAACCUUAAUGCUUAACUAAGCUGAGUGCGAUAAAAUACACUUUCGACUUAGAAGGCGAGGGACAAUUAAGAUACACUUUAUAAUGAAUCAUUUAGUAAUAAUUCAUGAUAAGUACAUUUGUCACAUAAUUUCACUUAGAUACACAUAAACAGUUAAACACAUAAAUUCGAAAAACACUCACCAAUUAUUCAAAUAAUUUACUCUUGAGCCUCGGAUUUGUUUCCUGGCUCGCGGCUAUUUCCUGAGAUAAAUAUAUAAUUCCAUGGUAAAUUUACAAUUUGUAGAUGUUCACCUAUUAUUUAAAUUAUUCGAAUUAGGUUUGACUUUAAAAUAUAAAAUAUAACAUAUUCAAUAUUUAUUCUACCUUAUUGUUUAAACUAUUAAAAUCAAGUUUGAUCUUAAAAUACAAAAUAUACGCAAUAUUUAUUCCCCAAUUUAUUUCAAGACUUAUUGACUUUAUUAUCUUAAAUCAAGAAAUAUACAUACUCUCCAAAUUAAUAAUUUAAAAAAUGUUUACAUUAGGAUUAAAUUAUUUUCUACUCAAGAUUCUAAGUUUAAAGCUUAGGAAUAUUCCAUUGGUUCCCUUUUUUAAAUUAGUUAAACUCUAAGUUAUUUGUAAAUUAAAUUUUAUUCCACUACACUCGUCCCUCAAAUUUAUAGAUUUUAACAUAUGUGUAAAGACAAUAUUAAGUGAUUAGAAGCCAAUUUAGGUAUAUAACUAUCAUGAGUUUUCCUCUCAUUUGCUUUAAUUUAACUCUACUCGUGGAACUAGAUAUAGUCGUUAAAUCUCAGACCAACCGUAGCUACCAUUUAUGAAAGCUUACAAGGUUGGAAAUUAGAAGAAAUGCUGGUUAAAAGUUGGUUUCUCACGGCCAGCAUCUUAGCAAAGUACAUUCGGGAACAAAAGGAAAGGCAACGAGAAAGGCAGCUUUGCCAUCUUCUGGUAUUCUGAUCAUAACUGGAGCUAUGGUUAUCGGAUUGAGGUGAAUUUUAUAGCGUUUCGAAGCUAAGACAUAGAACUACAUUUCUUAUGGAGACAUCGACACUCAGUUCUCAGUUCUCGCAUUUUCAAGGUAAAAACUGUACGGUCAGAAGCACCUUCUGUUUCACUCUCUCGGCUGAAGCUAAAAGAAUUUCAGCAUGGCUUAGCAGCUGCAUUUUUCCCUUUUCAUUCCUCCUCAGUUUUCUGUUCUAGAUUAUGUAAAAAGCAUAUUGAUUCAUCUUCAAGUUAACUUAAGCAAAACGGGGAAGUUUAUGCUCAAAACUCAAAAGGAUAGCUGACUAAAAUUCAGCUCUGCGCAAGGCUGCAAAACUGAUGUACCGCAGCUUGCCUCAGAGUUCUUUCACGUAUGGUUCUCUCCAUUUCACACUCAUUAACCUACGACUGACCCCUUAAACUGAAGAAGGAAACAAAUAAUCUGUUGCAUGCAUCCCAUAACGUUAUUAACCCAAGAAAUUUUGACAUCAGUUGCAAGUUCCAGCUCAACACUCAGUUUCUGCAAUUUUUCUGAGAUUUCACAGUUAUUGCCCGGCAUUUACUUCAGCUACAAGCUCUUCUCACUCUAGUUAUCAACCCUGCUCUAAGUUCUCAGGUAAGACAAGAAAAGAGCAUAUAGUUUGAGGUUCUAGCGGAAUAUUUCUCCCUACUUUCGGUUAACAAGCUGCAUGAUCAGUUUUUUUUUCCUCGGAUGGAGCUGAAAGGUAACCACUCCCUAAACAAGUUUUCCCUUCAAUCAAACUGAAUUUUUCUUAGCUACAUUCCAGCAUUCCACAGUAAUAUCCAAGUGUACUAGUUGUUUAGAAGGUUAUUGCUGUCACGUACCUCGUUCCUUCCUCCUAACGUUUGAAAAAAAAUGCAGAUCGCACGUUUGGUUUCCUGCUCCUAGCUUCGUCCCUCUAACUAUUGCACCAGCUCUCCCUUUUUUUCUCACGUUUGGCUCGCGGUGUUGAGGCUACCAGCUGAAGAAAUGAAGCGAGCCAGUGCCUCUCUCUCACUCUCACUGUCUCGGUUGCAGACUGGAGGCAAAGAGAAACCAGAAAUGUUUUCUUUUCCUCUCACUCGAUUAUGUAUGAGCUGAAUGGGUGUCCAAAUCACUCUCUCAGCUUUGCUCCUAGUGCGUGGUUGGUAAGAAAAGAAAAGAAAUGUUUUUUCU